CACGUAGGGGGCAAGCGUUGUCCGGAUUCAUUGGGCGUAAAGAGCGUGUAGGCGGCCAGGUAGGUCGGUUGUGAAAACUGGAGGCUCAACCUUCAGAGGUCGACCGAAACCAUCUGGCUAGAGUCCGGAAGAGGAGAGUGGAAUUCCUGGUGUAGCGGUGAAAUGCGCAGAUAUAAGGAAGAACACCCGUGGCGAAGGCGGCUCUCUGGGACGGUACUGACGCUGAGACGCGAAAGCGUGGGGAGCGAACAGG
rnacentral:rRNA from 1 species